rnacentral:rRNA from 1 species
AUUGAACGCUGGCGGCAGGCUUAACACAUGCAAGUCGAGCGGAGAGAAGUAGCUUGCUACUGAUCUUAGCGGCGGACGGGUGAGUAAUGCUUAGGAAUCUGCCUAUUAGUGGGGGACAACAUUUCGAAAGGAAUGCUAAUACCGCAUACGUCCUACGGGAGAAAGCAGGGGAUCUUCGGACCUUGCGCUAAUAGAUGAGCCUAAGUCGGAUUAGCUAGUUGGUGGGGUAAAGGCCUACCAAGGCGACGAUCUGUAGCGGGUCUGAGAGGAUGAUCCGCCACACUGGGGAUGAGACACGGCCCAGACUCCUACGGGAGGCAGCAGUGGAGAAUAUUGGACAAUGGGCGGAAGCCUGAUCCAGCCAUGCCGCGUGUGUGAAGAAGGCCUUAUGGUUGUAAAGCACUUUAAGCGAGGAGGAGGCUACUUUAGUUAAUACCUAGAGAUAGUGGACGUUACUCGCAGAAUAAGCACCGGCUAACUCUGUGCCAGCAGCCGCUGUAAGAC